UACUUACUAUAAGUAUCAAUCAGUCCUCCUCUUUGCAGAUUCAACAGUUAAUUGGAACUCUGGCUGCUGCUACAGUGUGUGUGUGUGUGUGUGUGUGUGUGUGGGAGGGGGGAUUCAUUCUCCCCUCUCCUGAUUGGGAUUUUCUAAUGCAAGCAGAAUUUUGGGAAAUGGAGUUUAUGGCAGGUUUUUUUUUUUUUUGCAUUCUCUGCCAUAGGGCUCCUUGUCUUCCCAAACUACAUUUUUCAAAGUUCUGUGCUUUUCCCCCCAGCGAAGUCUUCUCUCUACUUUCCCUCUCCUAAUGGCAAGAAGCCAUUAAUCUAAAGAGGAGAGGCAGCCUUUUUUCCAUUGCUUUGCUUCCUUGUGCUGAAAAUGAAACUGACUUUGGGAGGCUACCGAGAUUAACAAAAUUAAAAUGAAAAAGUAUUGGGCACAUUCCAAUUCCUAAGUUCUUAGCCAUGCCCAAGUCAUAGAAUCAUAGAAUAGUAGAGUUGGAAGAGACCUCAUGGACCAUCUAGUCCAACCCCCUGCUAAGAAGCAGGAAAUCGCAUUCAAAGCACCCCCGACAGAUGGCCAUCCAGCCUCUGCUUAAAAGCUUCCAAAGAAGGAGCCUCCACCACAGUCUGGGGGAGAGAGUUCCUCUGCCGAACAGACCUCACAGUGAGGAAGUUCUUCCUGAUGUUCAGGAGAUUCCACCUGAACAUCAGGAAGAACUUCCUCACUGUGAGAGCUGUUCGACAGUGGAACUCUCUCCCCCGGGCUGUGGUGGAGGCUCCUUCUUUGGAGGCGUUUAAACAGAGGCUGGAUGGCCAUCUGUCGGGGGUGCUUUGAAUGCGAUUUCCUGCUUCUUGGCAGGGGGUUGGACUGGAUGGCCCACGAGGUCUCUUCCAACUCUACUAUUCUAUGAUUCUAUGAGGGAGAGAGAGAGAGAGAGAGACUCUGAUGUUGCUAUAGGAAUAUCUAAUGUUCAAUUAGUCUUCUGCAUUUCAGUUCAGCUGAAGACAACAAAAUGAAAUUCUUUGUAAAGUAUUGGAUUCAAAAAUUCACCUUGAUGAGUUGCUAUUUGCAGAAUGAAGAAUCUGUCGCUGCUAAAGUUCCAAUAUCAUGAGCAUUCAAACUCCAGUUAUU
rnacentral:lncRNA from 1 species